rnacentral:rRNA from 1 species
ACGAACCGUGCAAACGUUAUUCGGAAUCACUGGGCUUAAAGGGCGCGUAGGCGGGUAAUCAAGUCAAUGGUGAAAUCCUCCAGCUUAACUGGAGAAGUGCCUUUGAUACUGGUUGUCUAGAGGGAGGUAGGGGCAUGUGGAACUUCAGGUGGAGCGGUGAAAUGCGUAGAUAUCUGAAGGAACGCCAGUGGCGAAAGCGACGUGCUGGACCUCUUCUGACGCUGAGGCGCGAAAGCUAGGGGAUCAAACGGGAUUAGAUACCCCGGUAGUCCUAGCCCUAAACUAUGGGUACUAGAUUGUGGACUUUCAUGGGUUCACAGUCGAAGCAAAAGUGUUAAGUGCCCCGCCUGGGGAGUAUGGUCGCAAGGCUG